ACAUUUUCAAUUCACACUUCUUCUACUUUAAAGCCCAAUGGCUUAAAGUCCAACAGGUAUUUCGUUGUUCUUUUACCUUACAUGGUUGAUUUUUGGCUUUUUCAUUAGUUCCUCAUUUAUUCUUCUUCUUUGUGACGCUGGAAAAGUUUAUUCUUAUUUUUUCUCUUUGGUGAUACAAUUGAAAAUGGACCUAAAAAAACUGAAAUAGAGAACACCAUAGAUGAAAAGGGACCUCAAAUAUCCGAGAAAGAGAACAUAUUAGCAACUAUCACACCUGAGGUUUUGUUGUUUCUCUCACUAUUAUUUUCAUUAUCUUUUGCUUCCUUUUCAAAUGGAAAGAUUUAUGUGAUUAAUAAUUAUCAGGACUAUAGUUCAAGGAAACCUUUGACCGAUAUGCACAGCCAAGCUGCUGCUUAUGCUAGAUUGGCUGAAACGACACCUUUGAAAUCCAUUUCUAUAGAUAAGGAAUGUCUGAGUGAGCUGACUGAAGAAUCUGGCAGUAUUAUUGUGCUCCCUGUCUCAGCAGAGAGUGCAGGGUUGUUGCCUAAACGUAAAGUGAAGUGGAUGAUUUGAGACCAAAUUGUAUUUGGAUUUCAAGGAUACCUUUCAGAAAUUGAUGAAGCAAAAGGGUCUGACAUUGUGUUAGAAGCGAUACUGGAGGCAGAAGUGGCAAAUAAUGCCAAAGAGUUUUUCUCACAGCCACAAAAUCAAUUAAAAAGUGAUUGAAGAGGUACAUUUGAAGAAGAUUUGCGCAUUAGAAGGCAGAGAUCAGCUUCAUACCAAGUGAGCAUGUCAGCUGCGGAUGAAAUAUUUCCAUGGAAAGACGGAUGAUUUAACCCCAGUUCGAGUAUCUCUGACUGUGGUUUUUGAGUCUUCUACCUGGUCUGUUUUGAUAUCAUGGGCAUCUAAAGAACAUAAGAUCCGUGUUGCCGCUAGGCAUCAAAGUCAUAUUGUUUGACAGAUGGUAGUCGAUGACAUAUACAAAUAAGAAAUUUCAGUGGACUUUGAUUCUGGAGUUCUGCAUAUUUUUAACGAUUUCUAAAUUUUGUUUUUGGACCUACUUGUACGAGGAGAGGAUUCAAAAAUGUCUUUGAAAUAGACGUUUGACCCUCAUUAAUUGAUCAAUGAUUUGAUUGACCCGAUUA